rnacentral:rRNA from 1 species
UUAGCCCUAAACACAGAUAAUUAUAUAAACAAAAUUAUUCGCCAGAGUACUACUAGCAAUAGCUUAAAACUCAAAGGACUUGGCGGUGCUUCAUAUCCCUCUAGAGGAGCCUGUUCUAUAAUCGAUAAACCCCGAUAAACCUCACCAAUUCUUGCUAAUACAGUCUAUAUACCGCCAUCUUCAGCAAACCCUAAAAAGGAAUAAAAGUAAGCGUAAUCAUAGCACAUAAAAAAGUUAGGUCAAGGUGUAACCUAUGAAAUGGAAAGAAAUGGGCUACAUUUUCUUAAAUCAAGAAAACCAUUACUCGAAAGCUAUUAUGAAAUUAAUAGCCAAAGGAGGAUUUAGCAGUAAACUAAGAAUAGAGUGCUUAGUUGAACCAGGCCAUGAAGCACGC